CAUAAGAAAGGUAGUCAACUUGGAGUCUUGUGAAGUGCCUGUUUUCGGGCUACAAAUGCACUAGAAGGAUUGUUUCUUAGUGUAGAAAUAGGGAAUUCCAUUUUCUUAGUUUAUCCUGCCUUAACCGAUGAAAAAGAAGCCCUCUUGCCUUCACCGAGUGGAGUAGUGGUCGGUUCGGUAAGACCUAUGCUUUGGUUGGUAACUACACUUCCUAUUACUUCCAUACUACUACACCACUUCCACUUAUACUCCGACCGAACUUCCCUUUCGAAACAUCAU
rnacentral:lncRNA from 1 species